UACGGGAAUGUGGCAAACGUUUAUUCGGGAAUCACUGGGCUUAAAGAGUCUGUAGGCGGUUUGUUAGGUGAGGUGUGAAAUCCCUCGGCCCAACCGAGGAAUUGCGCUUCAAACCGGCGAGCUAGAGGAGGGAUAGAGGUGGGGCGGAACUGAUGGUGGAGCGGUGAAAUGCGUUGAUAUCAUCAGGAACACCGGGAGGCGAAAGCGGUCCACUGGGGUCCUUUCUGACGCUGAUGGACGGAAAGCUAGGGGGAGCGAACGGGG
rnacentral:rRNA from 1 species